rnacentral:rRNA from 1 species
CCUACGGGAGGCAGCAGUGAGGAAUAUUGGUCAAUGGGCGCGAGCCUGAACCAGCCAAGUAGCGUGAAGGAUGACUGCCCUACGGGUUGUAAACUUCUUUUAUAAGGGAAUAAAGUGAGCCACGUGUGCAUAUUUGCAUGUACUCUAUGAAUAAGGAUCGGCUAACUCCGUGCCAGCAGCCGCGGUAAUACGGAGGAUACGAGCGUUAUCCGGAUUGAUUGGGUUUAAAGGGUGCGUAGAUGGGUUGUUAAGUCAGUUGUGAAAGUUUGUGGCUCAACCGUAAAAUUGCAGUUGAUACUGGCAGUCUUGAGUACAUUUGAGGUAGGCGGAAUGCGUGGUGUAGCGGUGAAAUGCUUAGAUAUCACGAAGAACUCCGAUUGCGAAGGCAGCUUACUAAACUGCCACUGACAUUGAUGCUCGAAAGUGUGGGUAUCAAACAGGAUUAGAUACCCCUGUAGUC